AGUGAACGCUGGCGGUAGGCCUAACACAUGCAAGUCGAACGGCAGCACAGUAAGAGCUUGCUCUUACGGGUGGCGAGUGGCGGACGGGUGAGGAAUACAUCGGAAUCUACUUUUUCGUGGGGGAUAACGUAGGGAAACUUACGCUAAUACCGCAUACGACCUACGGGUGAAAGCAGGGGAUCUUCGGACCUUGCGCGAUUGAAUGAGCCGAUGUCGGAUUAGCUAGUUGGCGGGGUAAAGGCCCACCAAGGCGACGAUCCGUAGCUGGUCUGAGAGGAUGAUCAGCCACACUGGAACUGGGACACGGUCCAGACUCCUACGGGAGGCAGCAGUGGGGAAUAUUGGACAAUGGGCGCAAGCCUAAGCCGGCCAUACCGCGUGGGUGAAGAAGGCCUUCGGGUUGUAAAGCCCUUUUGUUGGAAAGAAAAGCAGCAGGUUAAUACCCCGCUGUUCUGACGGUACCCAAAGAAUAAGCACCGGCUAACUUCGUG
rnacentral:rRNA from 1 species